AUACGGAAGGUCCGGGCGUUAUCCGGAUUUAUUGGGUUUAAAGGGAGCGCAGGCCGAAGGUUAAGCGUGACGUGAAAUGUAGCCGCUCAACGGCUGAACUGCGUCGCGAACUGGCUUUCUUGAGUGAGUUCGAUGUGGGCGGAAUUCGUGGUGUAGCGGUGAAAUGCUUAGAUAUCACGAAGAACUCCGAUUGCGAAGGCAGCCCACAAGGCCUUUACUGACGCUAAAGCUCGAAGGUGCGGGUAUCGAACAGGAUUAGAUACCCUGGUAGUCCGCACGGUAAACGAUGGAUGCCCGCUGUUUGCGAUAUACUGUGAGCGGCCAAGAGAAAUCGUUAAGCAUCCCACCUGGGGAGUACGCCGGCAACGGUGAAACUCAAAUGAAUUGACGGGG
rnacentral:rRNA from 1 species